GCGAGAGUGGCGGAAUUGGUAGACGCACUGGCCUUAGGAGCCAGCGGGUGACCGUGAGAGUUCGAGUCUCUCCUCUCGCA
rnacentral:tRNA from 1 species